CCUACGGGAGGCAGCAGUAGGGAAUUUUGCGCAAUGGGCGAAAGCCUGACGCAGCAACACCGCGUGAAUGUUAAGCCCUUCGGGGUGUAAAGUUCUGUCAAUCGGGACGAAUUUUGACUGUACCUAUACAGGAAGCCCCGGCUAACUACGUGCCAGCCGCCGCGGUAAUACGGAGGAUGCGAGCGUUAUCCGGAUUUAUUGGGUUUAAGGGGUGCGCAGGCGGUCUGUUAAGUCAGCGGUAAAAGCCCGGGGCUCAACCCCGGCCCGCCGUUGACACUGGCAGUCUCGAGUGGGAGAGAAGUAUGCGGAAUGCGCGGUGUAGCGGUGAAAUGCAUAGAUAUCGCGCAGAACUCCGAUUGCGAAGGCAGCAUGCCGGCUCCAAACUGACGCUGAGGCACGAAAGCGUGGGUAUCGAACAGGAUUAGAUACCCUUGUAGUC
rnacentral:rRNA from 1 species